UAUGGCUCCCUGGCCAGGUUCUCAGCCUUAUCAUCUGCUACACCCACGUCCACCCAAUGGGCCUGGGAUUCAGGGCAGGGGCCCAGGCUCCCCUCUUCUGUGGCUCAAACGGUGGACGACUUCCUGUUGGAGAAGUGGCGCAAGUAUUUUCCAUCUGGCAUCCCGCUGCUCAGCAACAGCCCCGCCCCGCUGGAGAGCAGGCUGGGUUACAUGUCUGCCAGGCAGCUAACAGUGAGUACCCCCCACCAACCCUUUGGCCAACUUGAGAGCUGAUGCUGGCCAAGGAUUGAGUUGACAGAGGGGAGCGCUUUGCUGAUGAGAUUGGCGGGAGCAGGCAGAUGUGGGAGCCCAGAGCCUUGUAUCAGUAGCACCCAGCAAGGGGGCAGAGGGCCUCCACCACCUUCCCGUUUGGGAACUAUUCUGGAGGGGCAGAUGUUUUGAAGCUUUGAAUUGCUAGGGACCUCGGAGAAGCUGCUCUGGUAGCUGAGAGAAAGAGGGAGGAGGCGACAGAUGUGAUGGCCUCUGUGCAUCCUCUGUCACUUCCGUGCUUCCUCUCUCCCCUCCCCCAUGCUCUCCUCUUCCUUCCCAGUGAGCAGCUCCGGCUCCUACAGCACUCCCAUUCCCAAGUCCCUGAGGCGGGCAGCACCACCUUUCAGGGC
rnacentral:sRNA from 1 species